UACGUAGGGGGCUAGCGUUGUCCGGAUUUAUUGGGCGUAAAGAGCGUGUAGGCGGCCAGGUAGGUCUGCUGUGAAAACUCGAGGCUCAACCUCGAGAUGUCGGCGGAAACCAUCUGGCUAGAGUCCGGAAGAGGAGAGUGGAAUUCCUGGUGUAGCGGUGAAAUGCGCAGAUAUCAGGAAGAACACCCGUGGCGAAGGCGGAUCUCUGGGCCUUGCCUGACGCUGAGGCGCGAAAGCUAGGGGAGCGAACAGG
rnacentral:rRNA from 1 species